GAAGCCCCCAAGACCGGACAAGAACCACAGCCUCCACGGUGCCUCCUCCUCCUCCUCCUCCUCGUCAUCCCUUUUGUGAGGCGCCAGCACCACGACACCCACAACUACUUCUAUUUUUACAUGAGUAUAACUAUUUUUACCAUAUUUAAGGCGUAAUUCAGGUCACAAAUCCUAAUUGGAAUACUUGUAUGCUUGUCAGUAAUGUGUUUUGUAUGAUUUUUUGUGAGUGUGUGUUUCUGUGAUUUUUUAGCACAACAAAAGACUCCAUAGUGGUGGUGCUGUGAGGGAGUGUGUAGCAGGACCGCACGGCCAGGCUCGCUUGUCUUGCUUGUCGGGUGUGUUCCCUAACUGGUGCACGGGUCAGCCCAAUCAGUACUCAUGGCAGGAAGAAAACCACUCGGGAGAAUUACUAAGAUACAAAAUUAGUGAAUGGAUGUACAGAAUUUGAUGGAAAAAGGAAAUAAUUGAACAGUGAUGUAAAAAACUGAAAGGAGAUAAGAAAUAACUGAAAUAAUAUAAGAAAUUGAAGUAAUGAAGUUAUAUAUAUAAAACAAAAUAGUUAAAAUUAAGUGUGAAUAUCAAACUUUAACUCAACAAAAGCUUCAUUCCAACAUCACAACUUUAAUCUUUCUCCCAAGUAACUCUUCCUCUUAUGACCACUGACGGGAAAUUGAGUGUGUGUACAGUGGCGAACACAUCCCACUGCAGAGACGACCCUUGGCUUAACAUGUACAGAUACUAGUGUGUAGCGGGCACGGCUGCGCUCGCCCAUCACGCAACAGAGGAAGGAGGCGACUGAUUGAUGGCCUGGUGUGCGUGGCCGUUAGUGUGCCCAAAGAGGGAAUCUCCUUCACAUAUUUUUGGUACUUUUAUGAAGGGGAGGGCGGGGCCUUGGGAGGAAUUUUAAGCAGAGGCGUUUUUGUGUGUGUGUGUGUGUGUGUGUGUGUGUGUGUGUGUGUGUGUGUGUGUGUGUGUGUGUGUGUGUGAUUAAGAGUUGUUUUUAGUGUUACGAACUGAUCCACGUGUCAGUAUAAUGCACCAAUCUUGAUCCUAUAGGGUUAAAACUUUUUGCAGUGAUUUAACAUGCACUGAAGAGAUAGUAAAAACUUCACGUAGGAAUGACUUGUAAUGACUUAGAACGCUUUUGGUGAUGCAGAUACUUGAUCCUGUAAGGUUAGGACAUUGAGAAGUGAUCAUCUUUUUAAGGAAGGAUAAUUAUAAUUUGUGAUGAUUUAGAAGACUUUAGAUCAGGUUAUGUCUGGGGGCGUCAGAGCAUCAAGCCUUGGAAAUGAAGAGCCAGGGUGAAGCGGUUUGAGCCCUGGUACUGCCAUGUGAGGUAAAAAAUGGCAUAUGAUCUUAACCCCCAAGUCUAGACCCUCAGGCAGCAACUCCAAAUGAACAUGAGUGCUAGCUGUCAAGGGAAAGAUCAGGUUAACUCUCAAGUCUAGACCCUCAGGCAGCAACUCCAAAUGAACGUGAGUGCUAGCUGUCAAGGGAAAGAUCAGGUUAUGAGUAGUAAUGAGAGGAGUCUUGGUAAUGCCAGGAAGCAGGUUAACAAACACAGAAUUCUCAGAGGAAGCAAUAAUUUGUAAUAGGAAAAGACGGAUAGGUUGUAGCAAAUGGUAAUGGUGCAAGAUUGUACUUUUAUAUGAACAGGAAGGACUUUUGUAUUGGAUGAAACGCAGAAGUAAGCUGUUAGGAGAUGAGCAGAAAUGUACAAAAUGUGAUGCAGGCAGAGGCCAUCCCUACUUAAUGUGUUAGGGUGUGCUUGCCAGUUGUAUUCACCCUUCCCUGUCGGUACUCCUGUCAGGGAAUGAUGACGACUCAGGGAAGUUAACCUGAGGAAUGUAAAUGACUGACUAUGAAAAAGAUUACCUCACAUUAUCAUAUUACUUUGAUUAGAUGAUUUACAUACCAUGGCUUGAACAAUUGUCACGUAUUUCUUUCCAUAUAGGAGUACUUGUAGGGAAGAAUGCGUACAAAUUGGCGAGCUUACUCCAGUCAACUACCUGUUCUUAGAUAAGUCAGGCUGCUAAGGCUGUCAAUUGUCACACUGAGGUAAAUGAUGUCUGUCGCUGUGGCCAAGUUUGUGUGAUAAAACUUAAGUACUUUUAAGUGAAACAAAAGCAAGCCUCAACUCAGUGACCAUGUGUAUAAUGAGGGUUAGGAGAUUGUGCUUAAUGAGUUAAUUAGGAGUUCGCCAGCAAAGAAUUUUCAUUGAUCCAUUCACUAAUAAUUUUUGUCGUUCUGGCCAUAGGUUGUGAUGGCAAAUAUUUAAUGAGUGUAUAAUGAGAGUUAAGAGAUUAUAUUUAAUGAGAUACUAAUGAGUUUGUGUGGCGAGGAAAUCACUUUGUUCUGUUCAGCAAUAAUUCUUGUCAUUCUGGCCAUGUCUUAACUCAUAGGCCAUAAAUGUAUAAUGAGUUAGAUUAUUUUUAUUGAAGUAAGAAUGUGUUGACUACCAUUGGGUCACAUGUGCAGCAAGGAAUCCACUUUGUUCUGUCGAGUAUUCAUUUAUGUCCUUGUGGCUGAAGUAUAUUGUGAUGAAACUCAGAUGUGAUGAGGAAACUUGGCUGUGGUGUCGAGUUUAAAUGAUGACAAGUCAGGACACUGGGCCAUAUUAUGUCAAACCCAAGAAGUUUUGGGUCUCUACAAAGGUCAGUUUAGGGACUGUAUUACAAGUCCAAUCAGAGAAGUUUCAGGUCCCUACAGGGUUAUUCAUCCCAAACCUUGUAGGGACCCGAAACUUCUUGGAUUGGACUUGUAGUACGGCCCCUAAACCGACCUUUCUAGGGACCCAAAACUUCCCGUGUUUGACUUAUAAUACGGCCCACUAACUCAAUUACCUAGCAGAGAAAUAUCGCCACCUUCGUAAACAAACCGCUUAAGUCAGUAUUUUCUACUUUACAGGAAAUCAUAAAAGAACUGUCAUCAUCUCAUUUGGCUUAAGAUUUAGGCAGAAACGAAAAGGCCAAUUCUAUAACACUCAAACCCUGAACGACGGAGGCAACUUAACAAAAAUGGGCGUCACAUGUUGAAAAAUUGAUGUAGACGAAAACCUGGAAAUCGCUGAAAAAUGGCUUGGGCAAUUAUUUUAUGAGGGUGACGAUAUGUUAAUGCAGUCUUGUCAGAGUGGCCUUGAAUGAGAGGAAAGUCACGCCAAGUAAAGUAACGGAUCAUGUCUCUUUACAGCAACUACAUCGCCAAAAAACAUCUCGAACACCCAUGAGUCGAUUGAACAGAGUAAGAGUGAUAUCUAUAAUUCUAUAUGCAUGGUGCUGUGCUGGCUAUGGAUGUCACUCAAAUGCUACGUUAUGUUUGUUAUGGGUGUAAGUUACCUUUUGCCAACUGUACAUGCGUGGAGAAAGUAUUGAGUUUUAUAAAGCCAAAUAAUGAUUGAUGAGAGACUGAGAGAAAAGUUGAAGGCCACGCAACAAAAUGACAGUGUGGUGUGUGGAUAAGAUAAUGAGUCUUAUCAGGUUCAGUUGUGACUUGUCUUGUUACAGUGGUCAUGAAUGGGAUACAGCUGAAAGUCCUGCAAAGUCAAGUAAUGAUCAUGUCUUUUAAUGGUGAUAAAAGUAGGGUACUGUAAGGGAGUUUAGAAGUAAUGAUAAAUGAUUGUCUUGCCACAGUGAUGGUAGGGUAACUUAAGUGCUUCCUUUGGACAAUUUACAUGUAUGUUUAUUUUUGCCGUUCAUUUGUUUGUCCGUCGUGGGUGUGGAGGGAUGAACAAUGAAUCCUAGAGGCCAGUCAGGUGACGAGUGAGUGUGUGAGUGAGUGUGAAAGUACAUACAAUGCUUCCCCUACUUGCCAGUGUGUGUGUGUGUGUGUGUGUGUGUGUGUGUGUGUGUGUGUGUGUGUGUUCAUU